UACACACCGCCCGUCACACCAUGGGAGUGAGUUGCUCCAGAAGCCGUUAGUCUAACCGCAAGGGGGACGACGACCACGGAGUGGUUCAUGACUGGGGGUG
rnacentral:rRNA from 1 species